AGGGGGAAAAGGGGCGUGGCCUUAACACCAGUGCUAAUCACAUGACCCCUCCUUUUAACUCCAAAUAAGGGAAAAGGGGCGUGGCCUCAACACCCACCUCAAUCACAUGACCCCUCCUUUUAACCCCUAAUAAGGGAAAAGGGGCGUGGCCUUAACACCCCAUGUCAAUCACGUGACCCCUCCUAUAAACCCCAAAUAAGGGGAAAAGGGGCGUGGCCUCAACACCCACCUCAAUCACAUGACCUCUCCUUUUAACCCCUAAUAAGGAAAAAGGGGUGUGGCCUAACCACCCAAUCACAUGACCCCUCCUUCUAACCCCUAAUAAGGAAAAGGGGGCGUGGCCUAACCACCCAAUCAGGAACAGGGGGCGUGGCCAGAUGUGGGGAAAAGGGGGCGGGGAUUCAAUCCGACCAAUGGGAAGGCGCGAGGGGGGCGGGACCUUACCCGGUGGGCGGGGCCGGCGAGGGCGGGGCGGAGUCGGAAGAGCUGGAACUGGAGUCGGAGUCGGAGUCGGAGUCGGACGAGGAGGAGGAGGAGGAGGAGGAGGAGCUCGAGGAGGAGGAGGAGGAGCUCUUGGUGACGUCAGCGGUGACGUCAGCGGUGGGCGGGGCCGCGCUGGGAGCACUGGGAGCCGCGGGAACGGUUGUACUGGUGUUACUGGUGAUACUGGGAGCCGCAGGUUUGAUGGUACUGGUGUUACUGGUGAUACUGGGAGCCAUGCUGGUCAUACUGGGACGAGCCGGACUGGUCAAACUGGUCACGCUGGCCGGAGCUGGACUGGUCAAACUGGUCGUGGUGGCCGGAGCUGGACUGGUCGAACUGGUCAAACUGGUUUGACUGGGACUGGUCAAACUGGGACGAGUUGGACUGGUCAAACUGGUUUGACUGGGACUGGUCAAACUGGUCACGCUGGUCGGACUCAGACUGGUCAAACUGGGACGAGUCGGACUGGUCAAACUGGUGGCGGUGGCCGGAGCUGGACUGGUCACGGUGGCCGGAGCUGGACUGGUCAAACUGGUGGUGGUGGCCAGAGUUGAACUGGUCAUACUGGUUUGACUCGGACUGGUCAAACUGGGACGAGUUGGACUGGUCAAACUGGUCACGGUGGCCGGAGCUGAACUGGUCAAACUGGUCACAGUGGCCGGAGCUGAACUGGUCAAACUGGUCACACUGGAUGGAGCCGGACUGGUCAAACUGGGACGAGUCGGACUGGUCAAACUGGUCACGGUGGCCGGAGCUGGACUGGUCAAACUGGUCACAGUGGCCGGAGCCGGACUGGUCAAACUGGUGGCACUGGUCUGACUCGGACUGGUCAAACUGGUGGCGGUGGCCGGAGCU
ensembl:lncRNA